rnacentral:rRNA from 1 species
AUAAAAGAUAUUAAGGGCCAUAGGUGGAUGCCUUGGCUAGUAGAGGCGAUGAAAGACGUACUAGGCUGCGAAAAGCCUCGGGGAGCUGCCAAGAAGCUUUGAUCCGGGGAUUUCUGAAUGGGGCAACCCGGCAUGGCGCGAGUCAUGUCACCUUCGGGGGCGAACGCAGGGAAGUGAAACAUCUCAGUACCUGCAGGAAAAGAAAUCAAACGAGAUUCCGAGAGUAGCGGCGAGCGAAAUUGGAAUAGGGCACUUACAUUUAGCACAUUUGUUAGCAGAACUGUCUGGAAAGUCAGAGCAUAGAGGGUGAUACUCCCGUAAGCGAAAACAUUUGUGUGGAACUAAGGUAAGGAAUGAGUAGGUCGGGACACGUGUUAUCUUGACUGAAUAUGGGGGACCACCCUCCAACCCUAAAUACUACUACUAGACCGAUAGCGAACAAGUACCGUGAGGGAAAGGUGAAAAGGACCGCGGUGAGCGGAGUGAAAUAGAACCUGAAACCUAUGGCUUACAAUCAUUCGGAGCACUAUUAAAUAAGUGUGACGGACUGCCUUUUGCAUAAUGAGCCUGCGAGUUGUGGUAUCUGGCAAGGUUAAUCGAACGAGAAGCCGUAGCGAAAGCGAGUCUUAAUAGGGCGACAUAGUCAGAUGCUGCAGACCCGAAACUGAGUGAUCUAUCCAUGAGCAGGUUGAAGCUGGUGUAAGAGCCAGUGGAGGACCGAACCGGUGGAAGUUGAAAAUUCCUCGGAUGACUUGUGGAUAGGGGUGAAAGGCCAAUCAAACUCAGUGAUAGCUGGUUCUCUCCGAAAUAUAUUUAGGUAUAGCCUCGAGCAUUAGCGUAUAGGGGUAGAGCACUGACAGGGCUAGGGCUGCUUACCGCGGUACCAAACCCUAUCAAACUCCGAAUACUAUACGUGUAACCUCGGGAGUCAGGCGUAGGGUGAUAAAAUCCUAUGUCGAGAGGGGAACAACCCAGACUAGCAGCUAAGGUCCCAAAGUCGUAUCUAAGUGGAAAAGGAUGUGGAGUUGCUGUGACAACCAGGAGGUUGGCUUAGAAGCAGCCAUCCUUUAAAGAAAGCGUAACAGCUCACUGGUCUAGCGAUUCUGCGCCGAAAAUAUAACGGGGCUAAGAUACGCACCGAAGCUCUAGAUUCAUAGUUUACUAUGAGUGGUAGGAGAGCGUUCCAUUCAGCGUUGAAGGUGUACCGGUAAGGAGCACUGGAGCGGAUGGAAGUGAGCAUGCAGGCAUGAGUAGCGAGAAAAGAAGUGAGAAUCUUCUUCGCCGAAAACCCAAGGUUUCCUACGCGAUGCUCGUCAUCGUAGGGUUAGUCGGGACCUAAGUCGAGUCCGAAAGGGGUAGACGAUGGCAAAUCGGUUAAUAUUCCGAUACCGACAUAUCAUCAUUUGAGUGAUGGGGGGACGCAUAGAGUUAGACGAGGUCACUGAUGGAAUAGUGGCUCGAAGGGUGUAGGUUGUGAAGUAGGCAAAUCCGCUUCACAUUCGACCGAGACCCGACAGGCAGUUCAAUCUCUUCGGAGAGCGAACUGAAUCGUCGAUACUGUCGUGCCGAGAAAAGCCUCUAAACGAGAUGGUAUGUCGCCCGUACCGUAAACCGACACAGGUGGGUGAGAUGAGUAUUCUAAGGCGCGUGGAUGAACCCUUGUUAAGGAACUCUGCAAACUAGCACCGUAUCUUCGGUAUAAGGUGUGCCCUUGAUGUUAGGAGAUUUACUCUCCAAAGCAUCUCUGGGUCGCAGCAAAGAGUCCCUCCCGACUGUUUACCAAAAACACAGCACUCUGCUAACACGUAAGUGGAUGUAUAGGGUGUGACGCCUGCCCGGUGCUCGAAGGUUAAAAGGAUUGCUUAGCAUUAGCGAAGGCAUGAAUUGAAGCCCGAGUAAACGGCGGCCGUAACUAUAACGGUCCUAAGGUAGCGAAAUUCCUUGUCGGUUAAAUACCGACCUGCAUGAAUGGCGUAACGAGAUGGGAGCUGUCUCAACAAGGGAUCCAGUGAAAUUGUAGUGGAGGUGAAAAUUCCUCCUACCCGCGGAAAGACGGAAAGACCCCGUGCACCUUUACUAUAGCUUGACACUGCUAUUGGGAUAUUCAUGUGCAGGAUAGGUGGGAGCCUUUGAUUCAUAGUCGCCAGAUUAUGAUGAGGCAUCCUUGAGAUACCACCCUUGAAUAUUCUGAUAGCUAACUCCGUACGAUUAUCUCGUGCGAGGACAAUGUCUGGUGGGUAGUUUGACUGGGGCGGUCGCCUCCUAAAAAGUAACGGAGGCUUACAAAGGUUGGCUCAGGUGGGUUGGAAAUCCACCGUAGAGUAUAAUGGCAUAAGCCAGCCUGACUGUGAGACAUACAAGUCGAGCAGAGUCGAAAGACGGUCAUAGUGAUCCGGUGGUUCUGUGUGGAAGGGCCAUCGCUCAAAGGAUAAAAGGUACGCCGGGGAUAACAGGCUGAUCUCCCCAAGAGCUCACAUCGACGGGGAGGUUUGGCACCUCGAUGUCGGCUCAUCGCAUCCUGGGGCUGGAGCAGGUCCCAAGGGUAUGGCUGUUCGCCAUUUAAAGCGGUACGCGAGCUGGGUUCAGAACGUCGUGAGACAGUUCGGUCCCUAUCUUCCGUGGGCGUAGGAUUGUUGAGGAGAGCUGACCCUAGUACGAGAGGACCGGGUUGGACGAACCACUGGUGCACCAGUUGUCCUGCCAAGGGCAUAGCUGGGUAGCUACGUUCGGAUGAGAUAACCGCUGAAAGCAUCUAAGCGGGAAGCCAACUCCAAGAUGAACAAUCCCUGAAGACCGCUUGAAGACUACAAGCUUGAUAGGCUGGAUGUGUACGCGCAGCAAUGCGUUUAGCUGACCAGUACUAAUAGGUCGUUUGUCUUUUUUUAUG